ACAACGAUGGCCACGGGACUGACAACGCGGACCUUAUGCCUUUUAGUAGAGAAAUCUAAAGGACCCCAAAGCCGGAAGUUAUAAGGCACUCUGGGCCGAUAAUCGGUCAAGGAUGAAAAACCUGAAUCGCGCUCAGAAUACCUACUACGCAUCUUCCGUUUAUAUGAUGUCGCUAUUCAUCAACGUUAAGGGUAAUUGAAAUGUAUUCGUUCAAAUUAACAUGGAGAAAGGUUGUAUCUACGCCAAAAAGAAUUUCGCGCGCGCUCGGGUUCUUAUUGUAGCUACGCAGAAAACAACUGUAGACCCUCACUGUAAGAAUGUUGAAGCAUUACUUGGAACUGGAAGUUGAAGCCCUAGCUCGACCAGAAAAUUCUAGUUAAACGCUUCCGGACGCGCAUCGUCCCCACUAGAGCGCCAGAAGCAAGAGCAAAAACUGCCACGCUAGCGUUACAUCAGCAAAUCUGUAACGAAACGCAGUCUGGUGUAGCUGUUCAUGGGCCUUUUUGACCUGUACAUAUUUGAAGGUCGAUUGAAUACUUCUUCGUAGGCCAAUAUUAGAACAUAAAUGGA